AUAUGAAAAAAUUAUAGAGAUACAAAAAUCAGUUUAGGAAAUGAGAAUCUCCAUUCCCAACUCUCCAUGAGAAUGAGAUUCUCAUUCCUUAUUCCUAAAUUGUGUGGGACUCGCACAUUUUAUUUUCAUUCUCAAAUUACAUUUUAUCAAGUAAACAUGAGUUUCAUUCUCAUUCAUUUAUUCACAUUCCCUAAACCAUCAAGUCAACACACCAUAAGUAGUUGCAAUCCGCUUAAGAAAAAGGAUUGACAAAAUUUAUUAGCUUAAUAUAUAAAACCCUUGCGUCUUUGGGUUGAACCAUAUCAUAUUUCAACCAUAUCUCACUUUCUUAUGUGUGUGGCCAACACUUCAUACAUGAAUUUUUUCUAUCUACACACAUAUGUAGGAUUCUUUAUUUGCUUUUCAUUUUAGAUAUAUGCAUGUUAUCACAUUUUGAAAUGUUUGAAUUUUGAAUUAGAAUUAGAUGACAUUUAUCUAAUUACAGUACAACAUUAAAGCUUUGAGCAUAGCGUCAAUUAUGAUGUUGUGACUUUUAAGUCGUGACUCUAUGAAUUAAAAAUUUCAGUUACAAACUAAAAGUUAAUA
rnacentral:lncRNA from 1 species